AUCUAUGGCCAUACCACCCUGAAUGCGUCUGAUCUCAGAAGCUAAGCAGAGUCGGGCAUGGUUAGUACUUGGAUGGGAGAUGACCUGGGAAUACUGGGUGCUGUAGGCU
rnacentral:rRNA from 1 species